rnacentral:ncRNA from 1 species
CCCAGCCAGUAAAUGGUUGGGCCACAUGCCAGUUGCUUAAUACUUUCUUAUGAAAGUUAUAAAAUUCAACUGCGACAACUGGUAAUUUUCGAAAGAGAAUGAACGUAUGAAGCAGUGGUGGCGCACUAACUUAGUGUAUCGAGCAAAUGGCUACAACCG